UUUCAGGUUAGGCGUGGCCAUGUGAUUGCUCUAGCCUGUAAAACGUGAGCAGAAGAGGCAUGAAGAACUUGGCUAGAUGCAUGUGAGGAGCAAGUUCAAGUCAGACUCAAUGUCAUUUCACCAUGAUUGGGGCAGAGUGGCACCGGGCCUGGUGGGAUCAGAAGGCAGGACACAGUGGACAGCUGGAUUGCCCCUUUCUAAAUCCAGCUUUCUUCAUCCAGGAAGCCUUCUUGGACCCUCCCACCCAGAGGGCCCUCUCCUACCCUGAACUCCUCCAGAAUUCUGUCUGCUGAAAGAAGGCAUAUGGAGUAUGAGAAGACAGCAGGGCUCUGAAGUCAGACCGAUGUGGUUUAAAUCUUGGUUUCAUCUUUGAUAAUCUGAUCAUUAAUUCAACAUCUGUAGCAUGCCAGGCACUGUUCUAUAUCCUGAAGAUGUGUUCAUCUUCAAGACCUGGGUGUUCUUGGAUCCUAUAUGCAAGUGAGGGAGAGAGAGACAGUCAAUAACAACAAUAACAAGGCCAAACAUGCAAAAAAGAAAAUAAGUUGUGAUGUUGGAAAUUAAGAAAAUAACCAAGGGGCUGAGAUAAAGAAUAACAGAAGGACCUACUUUAGAUGAGGUUGAUGAAUGACUGCCUCUUUGAAUGGGCAGCAUUUAAAAUUGCGAUGUACAAGAAGGAAGAAUAGCUACUAUAUAAAUAAAAGGGAAGAGCAUUCUCGGCAAGAGAAAAAUGACAGGCACAAGACCGCUAAGUGGGAAGGGUAGGAAAGGGCUUGGGUGGGGCAAGGUUGAAACUGAAGGAAGAGGAGUGUCUCUGGAGAGUACCCUGAGCUGAGGGUGGAGGGUAGGGCUGUGCUUUCCAGGCUAUUUUAGGAGAUAGAUUUAAGACGGAUUUUAGAGCACAAAAACCAGCAAGACUUUCUGGUGGUUUAGGUAAAGGGAGAAGAGGACGCACUCAAGAAGAGAGAGUCAAGUCACCUGGGGUGGGGAUGCCAUGCCCUUUACUGGAAUGGCAAAGGUGGAGUUGGGAGGAUGGAAAGUCUGCUCUGAAUGUGUUAGUCUGGAGAUAUCUGAGAUCUCCAGGUGGAAAUGGCAGCAGGCAAUAGGAUCCACAAGUCAGAAGGAAGCUCAAAGAAGUCCAGGUUGGGGAUAUAGAUUUGGGAUGACAGCAUAAGAAUAGUAUUUAAAUCCAUGGAAUUUCAUGAACUCACCUGUGAAGUGAAGAAAAAGGACCCAAGAGGGCCUAAGGAAGACCAAGGAGAAGUCAGAAAAAGGAGGAGGACCUGCAAAGGAGGACCAGCCAGUGAAGAGCGAGGAGAGCCUGGAGAGAAGAAUGUGGUAGAAACAGAGAGAGGCAAGAGUUUGCAGAAAGAGGGGUCAAUAUUGUCACAGGACUAAGAUGAAGUCCAAGAGUGGGGCUGGGCCUGGCCGGUUGGAGUCACUGGUGACCUUGACUGAGCAGUCUCAGUACUGGGGAGCAGAGUUAGCCUUUAGUGGGCCCGGGAGUGCAUGGGAGUUAAGAGAUGGAGGCUGUGAACAAAUUAUAUUCUUUGGAGAAAUUUGACUGCAAAAGAAAAUAGAGGGAUUGGGAAGUAGUUGUCAAGGGGAGGGGCUGGAGGUAGAUGAAUUGCAAGUGAGAGGAGUAUGUCUGGGUGCUGAUUGGACUUGCCUAGAAAAACCAAGAGACUGGUGAGAGAGCCACAGAGGGACAAUGAGAGCAAUAAGUUCCCAAGGAGCUGAAGAGGAUGAAUUCAGAGCACAGGUGGAGGGACUUUCUCCAUCAGCACAGGAAGAAGCAGAAUAGAGGGGCAGUCAGGAUGGGUCCUAAUCUAGUAUUGGGAAGAUGAAAGUUGAGCGAAGUAAUUGGGGGGGAAGGGUCCCUUGGAACCAGAGGGAGAGAGCAGGGUGGAAGGGAAG